rnacentral:rRNA from 1 species
GACGAACGCUGGCGGCGUGCUUAACACAUGCAAGUCGAACGGAAAGGCCCCUUUGGGGGUACUCGAGUGGCGAACGGGUGAGUAACACGUGAGUAACCUGCCCUUGACUUCGGGAUAACUUCAGGAAACUGGGGCUAAUACCGGAUAGGAAUCCUUGCUGCAUGGUGGGGGUUGGAAAGCUUCGGCGGUUUUGGAUGGACUCGCGGCUUAUCAGCUUGUUGGUGGGGUAGUGGCUUACCAAGGCUUUGACGGGUAGCCGGCCUGCGAGGGCGACCGGCCACAUUGGGUCUGAGAUACGGCCCAGACUCCUACGGGAGGCAGCAGUGGGGAAUAUUGCACAAUGGGCGGAAGCCUGAUGCAGCAACGCCGCGUGCGGGAUGACGGCCUUCGGGUUGUAAACCGCUUUCAGCAGGGGCGAAGCUUGUGGUGACGGUACCUGCAGAAGAAGCACCGGCUAACUACGUG